UGGGACUAGAAAUAUAGAGAUUAUUUUAGUAUACAUAAUAAUAGAUAAUAAAAACUAACAUUAUAUAUGUGAAAUAUAUGUUAAAAACCUAUGAAGUAUUGUAUAUGGCCCACAUAGGGUCAGGGAUAAUUGCAGGUAACUCCUUCUUAUUAAUGGAAAAGCUCCAGUCUUAAACUGAGCCAUGCUGUAGUGUUUAAUAGAAAUAUUAUCUGUGAUAUUCAUUUCUGUAGUAAGUUUUAACACAAUUUUAAAGCCAGAUUCUAGCUAACAAAUGCCACAGAUGUUUUCACAAUAAUUUCAGCAUAAAUGGCAUUUCUAUGGCAUUUUAUUGUCCCAAUUACCCUUCUUUUAGGUUGCACAAAACCUUCCACAAAAAAACCCCCAACUUUUGACAAGGAUGGUGUUUACUGAGCAUUGCUCCUUACUUGAAAAGAUCAUUUUGCCUAUUAAUUGAAAAAAAUUCUUCUGUUGGUUAAGGUAUGCUUACUAGAUCAAUUUAUUUUCAUUAUUUGUUUGGGGUUUUUUUAUAUUCCAAACUGGUGAAUUUUUGUGUGAUUCUGAUUCGUGUGGACAAACCAAAUCUGUGACUGACAGGGAACUUUAAAAAGAUUCCUGCAGAAAUGACAAAAUAAUCAAUGGUUGAAUUGGCAUUUACAUUUACAUAUAAUUAUUCAGUGAUGAAUUAAUUUUAGUGGUGUUUAGUGUUUUUUAAUUGCAACUAUGGCAGAUCUGCUUUUCUGAUAAUAGAAAUAUAUUGACUGGUGCAAAAUGGCAUUAAUUAGAGAAAUCUGAAACAUUUCAGAUUCAGAUGUGGGUCAGAGAUGUGCUGCUCAUUGUUGUAUCAAAAUUGCUAUAGGUGCUGAAUUUCCAGAGUCUCUUUUCCAUCUGCUCCUGGUGUUGACUUCUGUUCACUAAAGUUAUAAAGAAAAUUCUUGUGCAUUCUGGGUAUGAAUAAUACAUAAAAAAUCAUUAUUAGUACACUUACUCUUUACUACCAGAAAUCCACUUUUUUGGGUUUUUUUCCACAGCAGGUUGCUGGGCAGGAUAUUUUGAGUCAUUACUUUAUUUCCCUUCAUCCAAGACCUUUGCAGUAAGGAGCUGCAAAUAAAUCUGGAGCUGGGAGAAAAACACCCUUCUACGAGAUCCCUGCUCCAACAGAACCACAUCUGUCACUCCAGGAUUGCAGCCACCCUUCCAUAGGAGUGCCAGCACCACCCUGACCUCCAGGGUGCCAGGGGGAACUACCUGCCUCUGCAAUGCUGCUGUUGAGCUCAGGGAACAGUAUGAAAAUUGCUUUAUUGGUUUAUUAUGUUUAUUGCAUGAUAACCUCUGAGGCAGUGAACAUCAUUUGGAAUAUAAAUUCAGUUUUGUUUGUUUGUCCUAGCCUGGGCUGCUACGUCUGGGUCCUCCUCAACAAUCACACCCAGCCCUUGGGGGUAAGAGCAGAGAGUGGUUUCUUCCACCUUUGUAUGCCUUUGUAAAGAAGAUCUCCAGGUGCACCAGGGGAGAUGGAGCACGAUGCAACAUGGAGAUCGUUUUUCCCUAAGAGCCCCAAGGAUGUACAGUGCACAUUGCAGAUGUGGAUGGGAUUUGUACAGCUUGGAGCAGAGAUCCUCCUGUUACCUGGAGAUGCUGCAGUGGGGGAAGGAGAGGACAUGGUGGGAGCACUGGUCAGCAAAUUAAUGAUUUACAAGGACACUGUCACUGUUCUGUUAUGCACUCAUCUCUCAUCCGUGGAAACAAAGCUGGCUGAGCACAGCUGGAGCUUGGAAGAGAAAAUGGAAGAGGGCCACCAGAAACUGAGAAAGGAGCUUCAGGAAGGGAUUUACCACUUCAGGAAGGGAUUUAUCACAUCUCAGCAGAACCAACAAGCCUCUGCAUUAGGAGCAGCUGUCCCCCAGCCAGGCAGAGAGGAUGCACUGCACAAGGGACCUCAGGAACACAUUUACAGGAGGAGAGCAGCUGUACCUUGGCCAGGGUUAGAGGGACAGCACUUUUGGGGUUGCAGCUGCACAGACAGAAGCCAUCAGAGAGCUGAUGCCCUGCCUGGUCUCUCAGAUGAGCCCUCUGCUGUGGGACUGCUGAGAGCUGAAGAACAGCAGGAACCAAUCCCCACAGCAGCCCUGCACCACCAACAAUUCCUCAUCAUAACUAAAACUGGCUGUAGAACAGCUCAACAAAGAUAAAGUGCUUUGUUUUCCUUUCUCCCCCUUAAUUAAACC